rnacentral:rRNA from 1 species
GGAAUUGUUCGCAAUGGGCGCAAGCCUGACGACGCAACGCCGCGUGGAGGAUGAAGGGCUUCGGCUCGUAAACUCCUUUCGACCGAGAUGAAUACCCGCGGGGCCAAUACCCUUGCGGACUGACAGUAUCGAGGGAAGCAGGCCCGGCCCACCCCGUGCCAGCAGCCGCGGUAAUACGGGGGGGGCAAGCGUUGGUCGGAAUUACUGGGCGUAAAGGGUUCGUAGGUGGUCAACUAAGUCAGACGUGAAAUCCCUCAGCUUAACUGGGGAACUGCGUCUGAUACUGGUUGACUUGAGUGCAGGAGAGGAACGCGGAAUUCCAGGUGUAGCGGUGAAAUGCGUAGAUAUCUGGAGGAACACCGGUGGCGAAGGCGGCGUUCUGGACUGUAACUGACACUGAGGAACGAAAGCCAGGGGAGCAAA